rnacentral:rRNA from 1 species
AGACCGAUAGCGAACAAGUAGAGUGAUCGAAAGAUGAAAAGCACUUUGAAAAGAGAGUUAAACAGUAUGUGAAAUUGUUGAAAGGGAAGCGCUUGCAACCAGACUUGAGCGCGACGGUUCCCCCUUCCUUUUGGUUGGGUUACUCCGUCGUGUCCAGGCCAACAUCGGUUUCGGGGGUUGGUUAAAGGCGCCUUGAAUGUAUCUACCCUUCGGGCGUAGACUUAUAGCUCGGCGUGUCAUGCGACCUCCCGGGACCGAGGAACGCGCUUCGGCUCGGAUGUUGGCGUAAUGGUUGUCAGCAACCCGUCUUGAAACACGGACCAAG